UACGGAGGGUGCGAGCGUUGCCCGGAUUUAUUGGGCGUAAAGGGCGCGUAGGCGGCCACGCACGUCCGUUGUGAAAUCGCCCGGCUCAACUGGCGGGGUCAGCGGAUACGGUGUGGCUCGAGCAAGCUAGGGGCAAUGGAAUUCCCGGUGUAGUGGUGGAAUGCGUAGAUAUCGGGAGGAACACCAGUGGCGAAGGCGGUUGCCUGGAGCUUGCUGACGCUGAGGCGCGAAAGCGUGGGAGCGAUCCGG
rnacentral:rRNA from 1 species